GUGAGGGUUUCUGUUUCACUGUAAGAAAAACAAAACAGUGACAGGUCAUACACUCAUUCAUGCAUUAUACUUUCCUUUUAAUCAGUCCUUCUGCCACAAAAAUAAUAGAGCAUCCAUCAAAUGACGUAAUUGUACAUAAAUAAAUAUUUACUCAAAUUCCCUAGUUGCAGUCACAUCCCACUAAAAAAUACCAGAAUCAGCUGGAUUUCUGGAAAGCAAAAUAUGUCCAGAAGUUUUGCCAGGUUGUGUAGAAUUAUGCUUGUUUAACUGAGCCUUUGAAAGUCUCAUAUGAUUGUAAAUGUGUGUGUGUGUCUCUAUCAACCCAUAUUAUGUCAUACAAAACACUUGGACUUGCACACCCAUUUCACUUUUUUCUUAUUAUUUUCAGGUAGACAUUACUAACGAGGUUUACCCUAAGAAUAAGGAGAUGCCAGCAAAAAGGAUAGAGAAAACUUGAGGCAUGGUGGCUGCCAGAUUUACAUCUACACAGCUCUAGUAUCUGAGCCAGCAGUCGAGACUCAGGGGAAAUGCAACUUCAGAGCUUAAAAAGACAGUGGUGAGACCUAUUUUGACCUGCUUUUUGAUGUGAUGCAAGUUUCAUCAGAAACCUUUUACUGUCAAUGGGAGAUGUCGGGAUGCAGAGCUCAGAGAAGUCGACUCCUCUUCCUUGUGCACAUGGGCAUGGUUAACCUAUGGUGGACACCCCAGCCCUGCUGCGUAUCCACAGUCUCAGUCUGGCUUGUUCAAUUCAUCCACUUUCAGACGUUCUCUUCAUUGUAAACAGAUAACUGGAAAUCUGGACUCAGCAUCUUUUGCAGAGCUCCAUAACACCGUGGCUACAGGCAGUAUAAUUUUGUAGUUCUCAGAAUACGUGAAACUAAGGAGCUAUUAUGAAACAUGAACAGAAAUUUCUGAAGGAUAUCCAAGAUAUUGACUCUCUCACUUCUGGGAACGGUCCCUCUGAGGCAGCCUUCAAAGCAUUGACAGCUGAAUGUGUGCAGUCUUCACCUACCAUUAAUCCCCAGCACGAUGGUCUUUGUAAAUGAGACAAUGCAGAAGUCGUGAGAGGACUCUGGGAAGGAGGUUUGAGGCUACGUUUGUAAGGCUGCUUUCAGAAGAGCCUUUUCUCCUUACAGUAUGAAAUCCCAUUGUUGGAAAGGCAUGGAGAGGAGCGAGGCCACAGCAAUUCUGGUAAGAGCUUUGCUGUUUGGACUAAUUGAAAUUAUGAGAAUCUGUGUCAUCCCGAAGCUUCUACAUUACAUCUAAAGCAGCUCUAUCCUCUUUGGCAGGC